rnacentral:rRNA from 1 species
GAUGAACGCUAGCGGCAGGCUUAAUACAUGCAAGUCAAGGGGGUAGCAAUACAACCGGCGCACGGGUGAGUAACGCGUACACAACAUACCAUAUACUGGAGUAUAGCUUUGGGAAACUGAAGGUAAUCCUCCAUAACAUUGCGAGAGGGCAUCUGAUUGCAAUUAAAGUUUCGGCGGUAUAUGAUUGGUGUGCGUUUGAUUAGCUAGUUGGUAGGGUAACGGCCUACCAAGGCGACGAUCAAUAGCUGGCGUGAGAGCGCGACCAGCCACACUGGAACUGAGACACGGUCCAGACUCCUACGGGAGGCAGCAGUAGGGAAUAUUGGACAAUGGAGGAAACUCUGAUCCAGCCAUGCCGCGUGAUAGAUGAAGGCCCUCUGGGUUGUAAAUAUCUUUUAUCUGGGAGAAACACUCCUAUUCUUAGGAACUUGACGGUACCAGAGGAAUAAGCACCGGCUAACUCCGUGCCAGCAGCCGCGGUAAAGU